UUUGGGAAACACCACCACGUGAGCCCCACUAAGGUCAGCAGAGUGAGGGACUUUAGAACAGACCGUGGAGGAGAGAGAUGAUGAGUACCAGUUUUGGCCAUGAGAUUGACCACAGCAGUGGAGGCUACAGUUUGUCUCUUCACCUCCCUCUUCUAAAUUUCCCCCCAGGAAGAGGGGCCGACCAGAGCCCUGGAGGAGCUGCUCCCCAAAUAUGUUAUGAAGUGGAUCUACGGAGCACACAAGAUCUACAGUCUACAAUGUCCAUCUGAGCGACAGGGCAAAAAUUUUUGGCUGUUUAUUCCGAUGUCAGUGUACUCAAGAAGCUCAGAGGCCAUUUGUCCCGCAAAGCACACGUACCACGCUCACCGUCUUCUGAACCGGCAGCCUGCGAAGAGCCUGCCCAAGCCGCUGGGAAAGGAGGCUGCGCGGAAGGAAGGAGUCCGGCCCGCGGCCGUUCGCGGGCG